rnacentral:rRNA from 1 species
UACGUAGGGCGCAAGCGUUGUCCGGAAUUAUUGGGCGUAAAGAGCUCGUAGGCGGUCUGUCACGUCGGAUGUGAAAGCCCGGGGCUUAACCCCGGGUCUGCAUUCGAUACGGGCAGGCUAGAGUGUGGUAGGGGAGAUCGGAAUUCCUGGUGUAGCGGUGAAAUGCGCAGAUAUCAGGAGGAACACCGGUGGCGAAGGCGGAUCUCUGGGCCAUUACUGACGCUGAGGAGCGAAAGCGUGGGGAGCGAACAGG